rnacentral:rRNA from 1 species
AUUGAACGCUGCGGCAGGCUUAACACAUGCAAGUCGAGCGAGCGGCGGACGGGUGAGUAAUGCUUAGGAAUCUGCCUAUUAGUGGGGGACAACAUCUCGAAAGGGAUGCUAAUAACGCAUACUAAUAGAGGAGCCUAAGUCGGAUUAGCUAGUUGGUGGGGUCAAGGCCUACCAAGGCGACGAUCUGUAGCGGGUCUGAGAGGAUGAUCCGCCACACAGGGACUGAGAAAAGGGCCAGACUCCUACGGGAGGCAGAAGUGGGGAAGAUGGGAAAAUGGGGGGAACCCUGAUCCAGCCAUGCGGCGGGUGUGAAGAAGGCCUUAUGGUUGUAAAGCACUUUAAGCGAGGAGGCGUUACUCGCAGAAUAAGCACCGGCUAACUCUGUGCCAGCAGCCGCGGUAAUUC